rnacentral:rRNA from 1 species
GAGCUUGCUCCUGGGAUUAGUGGCGAACGGGUGAGUAACACGUGAGUAACCUGCCCUUGACUCUGGGAUAAGCGUUGGAAACGACGUCUAAUACCGGAUAUGACCCCUACCGGCAUCGGUUGGGGGUGGAAAGAUUUUUUGGUCAAGGAUGGACUCGCGGCCUAUCAGGUAGUUGGUGAGGUAAUGGCUCACCAAGCCGACGACGGGUAGCCGGCCUGAGAGGGUGACCGGCCACACUGGGACUGAGACACGGCCCAGACUCCUACGGGAGGCAGCAGUGGGGAAUAUUGCACAAUGGGCGAAAGCCUGAUGCAGCAACGCCGCGUGAGGGACGACGGCCUUCGGGUUGUAAACCUCUUUUAGUAGGGAAGAAGGGAGCUUGCUCUUGACGGUACCUGCAGAAAAAGCACCGGCUAACUACGUGCCAGCAGCCGCGGUAAUACGUAGGGUGCAAGCGUUGUCCGGAAUUAUUGGGCGUAAAGAGCUCGUAGGCGGUUUGUCGCGUCUGCUGUGAAAUCUGGGGGCUCAACCCCCAGCCUGCAGUGGGUACGGGCAGACUAGAGUGCGGUAGGGGAGAUUGGAAUUCCUGGUGUAGCGGUGGAAUGCGCAGAUAUCAGGAGGAACACCGAUGGCGAAGGCAGAUCUCUGGGCCGUAACUGACGCUGAGGAGCGAAAGCAUGGGGAGCGAACAGGAUUAGAUACCCUGGUAGUCCAUGCCGUAAACGUUGGGAACUAGAUGUAGGGGCCAUUCCACGGUUUCUGUGUCGCAGCUAACGCAUUAAGUUCCCCGCCUGGGGAGUACGGCCGCAAGGCUAAAACU